GACGAACGCUGGCGGCGUGCUUAACACAUGCAAGUCGAACGGAAAGGCCCUUCGGGGUACUCGAGUGGCGAACGGGUGAGUAACACGUGGGUGAUCUGCCCUGCACUUUGGGAUAAGCCUGGGAAACUGGGUCUAAUACCGAAUAGGACCACGCGCUUCAUGGUGUGUGGUGGAAAGCUUUUGCGGUGUGGGAUGGGCCCGCGGCCUAUCAGCUUGUUGGUGGGGUAAUGGCCUACCAAGGCGACGACGGGUAGCCGGCCUGAGAGGGUGACCGGCCACACUGGGACUGAGAUACGGCCCAGACACCUACGGGAGGCAGCAGUGGGGAAUAUUGCACAAUGGGCGCAAGCCUGAUGCAGCGACGCCGCGUGAGGGAUGACGGCCUUCGGGUUGUAAACCUCUUUCAAUAGGGACGAAGCGCAAGUGACGGUACCUAUAGAAGAAGCACCGGCCAACUACGUG
rnacentral:rRNA from 1 species